UCCCUUUUCUCUUUCCUCUUCCACGAUUAACCCUAGCGCCGCCUAUGCUCGUCUCUCGCUCUCAUUGCCAAAAAUGGCAAACAAUGCAGAGGUCUUAGACCUCAACAGCUUUUUCAUAUUCAAAUGCAUGCAACAAUCAAUGGUUCGUAAAUUUGUCACUCAAAAAUCGUUUCAAACACGUUUGAGGGUGGAAGCACAAGGAGCUUCUUUGAAUCCAUUCUUGACAAAGGCUGCAUCGAAAAAAGCCUCCCUAUUGGGCCUAAGGACAAUCCUUUCAAAAUCUACCGAAUAUAAGGAAGCUAAUAUAUAUAUGUUUGUGAAGGCCCAACCAUGGUUGAAAAUGGUUAAGGGGCUUGGUACACCCCAAGCUUUACUUGCUUUAUUUUGCGAAGUGAUAUGUUUAGUUUUCACAAUUUGUAUUUCUAAAACUCACAACAUUAUUGGAAAUCAAAUGGUUGAAACUA